rnacentral:rRNA from 1 species
UACGUAGGGUGCGAGCGUUGUCCGGAAUUAUUGGGCGUAAAGAGCUUGUAGGCGGUUUGUCUCGUCUGCCGUGAAAUUUCGAGGCUCAACCUCGAACUUGCGGUGGGUACGGGGCAGACUAGAGUGUGGUAGGGGAGACUGGAAUUCCUGGUGUGCGGUGAAAUGCGCAGAUAUCAGGAGGAACACCGAUGGCGAAGGCAGGUCUCUGGGCCGAC